rnacentral:rRNA from 1 species
AUUGAACGCUGGCGGAAUGCUUUACACAUGCAAGUCGAACGGUAGAGGGGGCAACCCCUCGAGAGUGGCGAACGGGUGAGUAAUAUAUCGGAACGUGCCCAGUCGUGGGGGAUAACGUAGCGAAAGUUACGCUAAUACCGCAUACGAUCUAAGGAUGAAAGCGGGGGAUCGCAAGACCUCGCGCGAUUGGAGCGGCCGAUAUCAGAUUAGGUAGUUGGUGAGGUAAAGGCUCACCAAGCCAACGAUCUGUAGCUGGUCUGAGAGGACGACCAGACACACUGGAACUGAAACACGGUCCAGACUCCGACGGGAGUCAGCAGUGGGGAAUUUUGGACAAUGGACGCAAGUCUGAUCCAGCCAUUCUGCGUGCAGGAUGAAGGCCCUCGGGUUGUAAACUGCUUUUGUACGGAACGAAAAGGUCUCUCUUAAUACGGGGGACUCAUGACGGUACCGUAAGAAUAAGCACCGGCUAACUACGUGCCAGCCGCCGCCGUAAAAC